rnacentral:lncRNA from 1 species
UUGUGUUUUUGUUAGUUAGUUUAAACCCUUUAAACCACAAGAGAAGAAAGAAAAAAACUGCUGCUAGUUUGGCCACCUCAUCUUUCUCGGCUCCAGGGUGGGCACACUAGAGAUUUUUAAGACAUCUGGCUUGCCUGAUUUGCAUUCAGUUGUUGGGUGUAAGCUAGUCCUUCAGCCCCUACUUUCUUCUUGGUUCUAUUUUCAAUGUUAGUUGAAGCGUGGGUUUUGGGAAAGAGAGAAGCCAUUUUCCCUUGUUGUGUUUUUUAUGUUUGCUUGAUUGCUUUGGGGAUGUAUUUCUAUUAAUAGUGAUGGGUUGGCGAUGAAGAAACUUGAAAGCUUCAAAGAUUUGGAAACCAUACUGUCCACCAUGUCCACAAGCUGAGAAACAGUUCACAUGUAAAAUGUUCUAAAUGACACUUUUCAAAAUAUGGAACUUCCCUUCAGCCAUCAGUCUAGCACUUACGUCCAAUUUUGCAGGCCUUUGCUGUGAACAUCAAUAACAUUCACUAAUUGAAGGUUCAUGUUUCCAUUGUUGCUGCCAAUGAUGCGUGUUGUCCCAGCCUAUGCCGGUGAAAGAUAUUUUUCUUCAAGUUAAACUUUGGCUGUUCUUUGGUGCUGGCGUCGUGUUACGGAAUUUGCAUCCUGCAUUUUGUUCAA